rnacentral:rRNA from 1 species
AGAGUUUGAUCCUGGCUCAGAACGAACGCUGGCGGCAGGCUUAACACAUGCAAGUCGAACGAUCCUUCGGGAUAGUGGCAGACGGGUGAGUAACGCGUGGGAACCUUCCCUAUGGUACGGAAUAGCUCCGGGAAACUGGAAUUAAUACCGUAUAAGCCCCCCUUUGGAGACAUUGGGGGGGAAAGAUUUAUCGCCAUAGGAUGGGCCCGCGUCGGAUUAGCUAGUUGGUGAGGUAAUGGCUCACCAAGGCUACGAUCCGUAGCUGGUCUUAGAGGAUGAUCAGCCACACUGGGACUUAGACACGGCCCAGACUCCUACGGGAGGCAGCAGUGGGGAAUAUUGGACAAUGGGCGAAAGCCUGAUCCAGCCAUGCCGCGUGAGUGACGAAGGCCUUAGGGUUGUAAAACUCUUUUGGCGGGGACGAUAAUGACGGUACCCGCAGAAUAAGCCCCGGCUAACUUCGUGCCAGCAGCCGCGGUAAUACGAAGGGGGCUAGCGUUGUUCGGAAUCACUGGGCGUAAAGCGCACGUAGGCGGACUGAUCAGUUGGGGGUGAAAUCCCAGGGCUCAACCCUGGAACUGCCUUCAAUACUGUCAGUCUUGAGUCCGAGAGAGGUGAGUGGAAUUCCUGGUGUAGAGGUGAAAUUCGUAGAUAUUAGGAAGAACACCAGUGGCGAAUGCGGCUCACUGGCUCGGUACUGACGCUUACGUGCGAAAGCGUGGGGAGCAAACAGGAUUAGAUA